UACGUAGGGCGCAAGCGUUAUCCGGAAUUAUUGGGCGUAAAGAGCUCGUAGGCGGUUUGUCGCGUCUGCCGUGAAAGUCCGGGGCUCAACUCCGGAUCUGCGGUGGGUACGGGCAGACUAGAGUGAUGUAGGGGAGACUGGAAUUCCUGGUGUAGCGGUGAAAUGCGUAGAUAUCAGGAGGAACACCGAUGGCGAAGCAGCUGCCU
rnacentral:rRNA from 1 species